rnacentral:tRNA from 1 species
UGAUAGCUCAGUUGGUAGAGCAUGAUACCCUUAAUCUCAGGGGUUGUGGGUUUGAGCCCCACAUUGGGCAAAA